GACGAACGCUGGCGGCGUGCUUAACACAUGCAAGUCGAACGGAAAGGCCCUGCUUUUGUGGGGUGCUCGAGUGGCGAACGGGUGAGUAACACGUGAGUAACCUGCCCUUGACUUUGGGAUAACUUCAGGAAACUGGGGCUAAUACCGGAUAGGAGCUCCUGCUGCAUGGUGGGGGUUGGAAAGUUUCGGCGGUUGGGGAUGGACUCGCGGCUUAUCAGCUUGUUGGUGGGGUAGUGGCUUACCAAGGCUUUGACGGGUAGCCGGCCUGAGAGGGUGACCGGCCACAUUGGGACUGAGAUACGGCCCAGACUCCUACGGGAGGCAGCAGUGGGGAAUAUUGCACAGUGGGCGGAAGCCUGAUGCAGCAACGCCGCGUGCGGUAUGACGGCCUUCGGGUUGUAAACCGCUUUCGCCUGUGACGAAGCGUGAGUGACGGUAAUGAGUAAAGAAGCACCGGCUAACUACGUG
rnacentral:rRNA from 1 species